UACGUAGGGUGCAAGCGUUGUCCGGAAUUAUUGGGCGUAAAGAGCUCGUAGGCGGCUUGUCGCGUCGACUGUGAAAUCCCGCGGCUCAACUGCGGGUCUGCAGUCGAUACGGGCAGGCUAGAGUUCGGUAGGGGAGACUGGAAUUCCUGGUGUAGCGGUGAAAUGCGCAGAUAUCAGGAGGAACACCGGUGGCGAAGGCGGGUCUCUGGGCCGAUACUGACGUGAGGAGCGAAAAGCGUGGGGGAGCGAACAGG
rnacentral:rRNA from 1 species